rnacentral:rRNA from 1 species
CUACGGGUUGCAGCAGUGGGGAAUAUUGGACAAUGGGCGCAAGCCUGAUCCAGCCAUGCCGCGUGAGUGACGAAGGCCUUAGGGUUGUAAAGCUCUUUUGGCGGGGACGAUAAUGACGGUACCCGCAGAAUAAGCUCCGGCUAACUUCGUGCCAGCAGCCGCGGUAAUACGAAGGGAGCUAGCGUUGUUCGGAAUCACUGGGCGUAAAGCGCACGUAGGCGGAUUUGUAAGUCAGGGGUGAAAUCCCGGGGCUCAACCUCGGAACUGCCUUUGAUACUGCAAGUCUCGAGUCCGGAAGAGGUGGGUGGAAUUCCUAGUGUAGAGGUGAAAUUCGUAGAUAUUAGGAAGAACACCGGUGGCGAAGGCGGCCCACUGGUCCGGUACUGACGCUGAGGUGCGAAAGCGUGGGGAGCAAACAGGAUUAGAUACCCCAGUAGUC